rnacentral:rRNA from 1 species
GACGAACGCUGGCGGCGUGCUUAACACAUGCAAGUCGAACGGAAAGGCCCUGCUUUUGUGGGGUGCUCGAGUGGCGAACGGGUGAGUAACGCGUGAGUAACCUGCCCUUGACUUUGGGAUAACUUCAGGAAACUGGGGCUAAUACCGGAUAGGAGCUCCUGCUGCAUGGUGGGGGUUGGAAAGUUUCGGCGGUUGGGGAUGGACUCGCGGCUUAUCAGCUUGUUGGUGGGGUAGUGGCUUACCAAGGCUUUGACGGGUAGCCGGCCUGAGAGGGUGACCGACCACAUUGGGACUGAGAUACGGCCCAGACUCCUACGGGAGGCAGCAGUGGGGAAUAUUGCACAAUGGGCGGAAGCCUGAUGCAGCAACGCCGCGUGCGGGAUGACGGCCUUCGGGUUGUAAACCGCUUUCGCCUGUGACGAAGCGUGAGUGACGGUAAUGGGUAAAGAAGCACCGGCUAACUACGUG